UGAAAGGAUAUGUAACAAAUGCCUUAUCUCUAUUAGGAUUUCUUGUAUAAAACAAAACACAAACAUAGUCCUUGGAAUUUGUACAUCAGCAAAAUGUUUCUAAUAUAGUCAACAAACCAAAGAAACCUCCAACCUACCUAUAACAUUGACAGAAGAUGCCCCAGAAUAAUGAACAACUCCUUUUCUACUCCCUUUCCUAUACAAUAUUUCACAUUAAUGAACAACCCUA
rnacentral:lncRNA from 1 species